rnacentral:rRNA from 1 species
GACGAACGCUGGCGGCGUGCUUAACACAUGCAAGUCGAACGGAAAGGCCCCUUCGGGGGUACUCGAGUGGCGAACGGGUGAGUAACACGUGAGUAACCUGCCCUUGACUUCGGGAUAACUUCAGGAAACUGGGGCUAAUACCGGAUAGGAAUCCUUGCUGCAUGGUGGGGGUUGGAAAGCUUCGGCGGUUUUGGAUGGACUCGCGGCUUAUCAGCUUGUUGGUGGGGUAGUGGCUUACCAAGGCUUUGACGGGUAGCCGGCCUGAGAGGGCGACCGGCCACAUUGGGACUGAGAUACGGCCCAGACUCCUACGGGAGGCAGCAGUGGGGAAUAUUGCACAAUGGGCGGAAGCCUGAUGCAGCAACGCCGUGUGCGGGAUGACGGCCUUCGGGUUGUAAACCGCUUUCAGCAGGGGCGAAGCUUGUGGUGACGGUACCUGCAGAAGAAGCACCGGCUAACUACGUG